rnacentral:rRNA from 1 species
GUGGGGAAUAUUGGACAAUGGGGGCAACCCUGAUCCAGCCAUGCCGCGUGAGUGAAGAAGGCCCUAGGGUUGUAAAACUCUUUCGGCGGGGAAGAUAAUGACGGUACCCGCAGAAGAAGCCCCGGCUAACUCCGUGCCAGCAGCCGCGGUAAGACGGAGGGGGCUAGCGUUGUUCGGAAUUACUGGGCGUAAAGCGCGCGUAGGCCGUGGUCUAAGUUGGGCGUGAAAGCCCGGGGCUCAACCCCGGAACUGCGCUCAAAACUGGGUCACUAGAGUCCGGGAGAGGGUAGCGGAAUUCCCAGUGUAGAGGUGAAAUUCGUAGAUAUUGGGAAGAACACCAGUGGCGAAGGCGGCUGCCUGGCCCGGUACUGACGCUGAGGUGCGAAAGCGUGGGGAGCAAACAGG